UUUAAGUGCUUUGAUGGGGAUGGUUCCCUCCUGAAAUAGGAUUAAAAUUGCUUAUUUAAUAAAUUAAUGAUCCUACAUAAAUGACCCCUCAACACCUGAGGGGGAGCAGCUCUGUGCAGAGUCCUUGGUGGAAGAUGACCUUGAAACUUACAGCCUACAGAAAACACUUUUGAAAUUGAGAGCAGCUGGAAGCAAUGCAGCACAUAAGUAUGAAAAGUAGAAAGACAUGCCUUUCUCUAGACAAUGUUGUUUGCAUCAUACCUUUCUUCAAACCCACACAUAGCAUGCAAUUCAGUAAAAAGAUAUAAACAUUGACAUACUGUCUCUUCAUCUCAUUAUCAAUGCCCGUGAAAAGGAAAUCCAGUCUAAUAAGUAAAGGAUAUGGAAAGAGAUACAGAGGCAGGUUUGUGAAG